UGGCUAUCUGUAAUGAUGUCUGAGUGUUGGAGUGCCCAUGGCUAUCUGUAAUGAUGUCUGAGUGUUGGAGUGCCCAUGGCUAUCUGUAAUGAUGUCUGAGUGUUGGAGUGCCCAUGGCUAUCUUACAAUAUAAAAACAAGGAAACUGGUUUGCUUAAUAAAAUUAAUUGUUUAUUAUUUAUACUUUUACUUUUGAUACUUACAUAUUUUAGGAAUUACAUUUAUUUUUAAGUAUAUUUAAAACCAAAAUACUUUUAGAUUUGUAUUCAUGUAGUAUUUUACUGGGUGACUUUCACGUUUACUUGAAUAUAUCUUUACUUUUAUGCAAGUAGACCACCACUGGUAGGACGACACUGGCAGGACGACCCUGGCAGGACGACCCUGGCAGGACGACCCUGGCAGGACGACCCUGGCAGGACGACCCUGGCAGGACAUCUGUGGUAGGACACCGUUACGGAAAAGCUUUACACAAUAAAUCUACAUGGAGUAUUCAGAACUGAUUUAAUUUCUUUACCAAAAUAAAUUGUUUUGCAUUUCACAUGGGUUGACUAAGACUUGAUCUCGUAAUCUAGACAAAGAUUAGUUGUUAAAAGGUAUCAACAUAUCCAAGGUAUAAUAAUGCAUUAUAAAUAUUUUUUGCUAGUAACAUGUAAAACUAACUGUUUGGAGAAAGUUCUACUGGUUGAAAACACAUAAUUGGUGCAGGAUCACAUUGUGACCACCAGAGGGCGCCAUAGCCUAACAGUCAGCCACCAUGAAGUACUGAACAGCCAGACGGAGCAACCGAACCUACAAACAUAUUUACUGAUCACUGAGUGAGGACAACAUGGGAAGCAUCACAGACACAGGCUUCCAUCGUAGCUCAGUGGAUACAGACAGGGAGCAUCUGAGAUGGCACCCUAUUCCCUCUAUGGCACCCUAUUCCCUCUAUGGCACCCUAUUCCCUCUAUAGUCCUAUGGCACCCCAUUCCCUCUGUAGUCCUAUGGCACCCCAUUCCCUCUGUAGUCCUAUAGCACCCCAUUCCCUCUGUAGUCCUAUAGCACCCCAUUCCCUUAGUCCUAUAGCACCCCAUUCCCUCUGUAGUCCUAUAGCACCCCAUUCCCUCUGUAGUCCUAUAGCACCCAUUCCCUCGUAG
rnacentral:lncRNA from 1 species